GGGCGCGUAGCUCAGCGGCAGAGCACUCCCUUCACACGGGAGGGGUCACAGGUUCAAUCCCUGUCGCGCCCA
rnacentral:tRNA from 1 species